rnacentral:rRNA from 1 species
AGUGAACGCUGGCGGUAGGCCUAACACAUGCAAGUCGAACGGCAGCACAGUAAGAGCUUGCCCUUACGGGUGGCGAGUGGCGGACGGGUGAGGAAUACAUCGGAAUCUACUUUUUCGUGGGGGAUAACGUAGGGAAACUUACGCUAAUACCGCAUACGACCUACGGGUGAAAGCAGGGGAUCUUCGGACCUUGCGCGAUUGAAUGAGCCGAUGUCGGAUUAGCUAGUUGGCGGGGUAAAGGCCCACCAAGGCGACGAUCCGUAGCUGGUCUGGGAGGAUGAUCAGCCACACUGGAACUGAGACACGGUCCAGACGCCUACGGGAGGCAGCAGUGGGGAAUAUUGGACAAUGGGCGCAAGCCUGAUCCAGCCAUACCGCGUGGGUGAAGAAGGCCUUCGGGUUGUAAAGCCCUUUUGUUGGGAAAGAAAAGCAGCAGGUUAAUACCCCGCUGUUCUGACGGUACCCAAAGAAUAAGCACCGGCUAACUUCGUG